GGACCUCGUCCGUGGAGAGACUACCCGCCAAAUUUAAGCAUAUUAAUAAGCGGAGGAAAAGAAACCAACCGGGAUUCCCUGAGUAAGGGCGACUGAAAGGGGAUGAGCCCAGCGCAUAACCUUGCGGUCGUUUUUUGGCCGUCGAGGGGUGUUGCGUUUCGGUGGAUCCGUACCGCUCGAAUUGCUGACCGCCUAAGUCAUUGCUUGAAUGCAGCCCCAAGGAGGGUGGUAGGCCCGUGUGGCGGCGCCUGUAAAAAGGUUUGGAAGCAAUUUGGGCGGAGGGAUGUUUACCGUAGAGUCGGGUUGCUUAGUACUGCAGCCCUAAGUAGGUGGUAAACUCCAUCUAAGGCUAAAUACUACCACGAGUCCGAUAUUUGACAAGUACCGUGAGGGAAAGCUGAAAAGGACUCUGAAGAGAGAGUUCAAGAGGACGUGAAACCAUUAGAAGCUGAAACGGGUGGAACCGUGAAGGUGGAAAGAGGGGAUUCAGGCUGUUGGCAGAGGCUAUUGGCUGCGGGUAAUGUUGAGAGAUAUGGACCCGGCGUACGAGUGAGUUGUCCGGGCACCCGUGGCCUUUUUGUCUUUGCGAGCAGGCUUAGUUCUCCCUCGAGUACGAGACGUGGCGACCCGCUGUUGGGACCCCGAGGGCCCUGAAGGACUGGUAGCCUAGACCUUCGGUUUGGGUGAUGACCUUUAUGGGUACUGAGUGGGUUUGAACGGCGGUCACUGUGAGGAAGUAGCGGUGGGUGCAGCUUCUGGCUGCAUCGACUUGCUUCUCGCCAUGUGAGAGGUAUCGGUAAUCCACCCGACCCGUCUUGAAACACGGACCAAGGAGUCCAACAUGUGCGCGAGUCUAAGGGUUUAUUAAACCCGGAGGCGAAAUGAAAGUGAGCUCCCUUUGUUGGGGGCAGGCCGAUCCCUUGUCGUGACCUGGGCUGCGCGGGGCUACGUGGCGAUGUCAAAGUUGCCUGUGGUGUGUUGCGUAGUUUUGGGUUGCGGCGGCCCCUCUCGGGGGGUAUUGGGCGCAGGCCGAGGACUUGCCUUAGUGCGGCUCGGGCAACGGGUUUCUCUCUCUCGGGGGAGUCUCCUUAUCCCGAUGUCCGCCGGCAAGUACCUGAGAGCGCAGCCGUUGGGACCCGAAAGAUGGUGAACUAUGCCUGGCGAGGACGAAGCCAGAGGAAACUCUGGUGGAGGUCCGAAGCAGUUCUGACGUGCAAAUCGAUUGUCAGAGCUGGGUAUAGGGGCGAAAGACUAAUCGAACCAUCUAGUAGCUGGUUCCCUCCGAAGUUUCCCUCAGGAUAGCUGGCGUUGAUUUGAUGAGUUUCAUCCGGUAAAGCGAAUGAUUAGAGGCCUUGGUGGUGCAAUGCCGUCAACCUAUUCUCAAACUUUAAAUGGGUGAGAUGUAGAGCUUGCUUGAAAUGUGAAGCUGUAUGAUGUUGAAUCGUGAUGCCUAGUGGGCCACUUUUGGUAAGCAGAACUGGCGCUGUGGGAUGAACCAAACGCACGAGUUAAGGGGCCUAAAUGAAUGCUAAUGUAGACACUAGGAAAAGGUGUUGGUUGCUAUAGACAGCAGGGCGGUGGCCAUGGAAGUUGGAAUCCGCUAAGGAGUGUGUAACAACUCACCUGCCGAAGCAACUAGCCCUUAAAAUGGUAUGGCGCUGAAGCAUUCUCCCGAUACUCGGCCGCCGGGGCAUUAUUUUGGUUGAGAGAGGCCAUGGAAGCCCCGGUGAGUAGGAGGGUCGCAGCGGUGAGCGUCGAAGGGACUGGGCGUGAGCCGGCCUGGAGCCGCCGCUGGUGCAGAUCUUGGUGGUAGUAGCAAAUAAUCAAGAGAGAGCCUCGUUGGCUGAUGUGGAGAAGGGUUCCAUGUCAACAUCAGUUGAACAUGGGUGAGUCAGGCCUAAGCCCAAGGAUAAAUUUCCUGUGUCCCAGGUGUUCCCAGGCCUCCUAAAGGAUGGCCUCCUUGAAUCAAUGAAACCAUAUGAUCAAACUAAUGUUUAAACUACUGUACUGUUGUUGUCACUCUUGGAAGUGACCGAUCGAUUGAUUUUGUUUGUGAGCGAGCGAGACAACCAACAUGUGCUAUAUGAUAUAGUUGCCAACCAACAUGUUUGAGUUCAGCAGCAGCAGCAAAGCCCAGCCCAAAGAGUAAGAAAUGACCUAUGGUAUGAUGUAGUAUCCUUUUGACAUGGGGUGCGCCCAGCCUUUGCUGGGUUUUGCCUUGAAUGAUGAUAAUAUGAGAUGCUUUGGUUAAGAAGCAGCACAAGCAGCCAGCAGCAGCUGCAAUGAUGAUGAUGGUGGUGGUUUUUGCCAACCAGCCUUCACCACUACUGUACUUACUGUUUUGAAAGGUUCAAUGAAAGUUGAUUGGAUUCCUUCCAUUUUGCAGAGAGAGACACAUUUGUAUGUGGUUAUUAUUGAUGGCUUUUUGAAUUGCUUGUUGCAGCCGGCCUCUUUUCCUGAUGCUGCCGGGCUGCCUUCCUUCCUUCUUGGAGUUGCCUUU